UGGAAUGGAUAAAGGGCUGCUGGGGAUGUGUGUGGGUGAGAAGCGCAUCAUCACCAUUCCUCCUUUUCUGGCCUAUGGAGAGGAUGGAGAUGGGAAAGACAUUCCCGGUCAGGCAUCUCUGGUGUUUGAUGUUGCAUUAUUGGACCUCCAUAACCCCAAAGACAGCAUUUCCAUUGAGAACAAGGUAGUACCUGAAAACUGUGAGCGGAUAAGUCAAAGCGGGGACUUUCUCAGGUAUCAUUACAAUGGCACGCUUCUGGAUGGCACCCUCUUUGAUUCUAGCUACUCUCGGAACCGCACGUUUGACACGUACAUUGGGCAGGGCUACGUGAUUCCUGGGAUGGAUGAAGGUCUACUUGGUGUUUGCAUUGGAGAAAAGCGAAGGAUUGUGGUCCCCCCUCACCUGGGGUAUGGAGAGGAAGGAAGAGGCCGAGAAACUCCAUCUAUCCAUUCAUCAAAGAUUUAUUGAGUUUCUUCAUGACCAGGCCCUGCGCACAGUGUUAGGGAUUCAGCAGAAAGAAACACAAACAAAACUUCCUACGCACACAGAGAGUGUUUCCUUGUUGAUGCUCUCAAUAAUGUGUGUGCCUCAGAGGUUAUCAGGCACCUGGGAGACUGACUCAUGUUGACUUCCUAGAAGCUGACAUACUCACCUGAUGCUACAUGGUUCCUUGACUGGGUGUGAAUCGACCUGUACACUGGUUGGAAUUCUUGUUCCUGGAAUCCUUGGGGCCUGAGAGGCUGAGUUCAUUUGACUGCUGACAUCAGAUUCCAGGGGUGU
rnacentral:sRNA from 1 species